rnacentral:tRNA from 2 species
CGUCCUUGUAGCUGAGCACGGUCAACACGUUGGUGUUGUGUUCCGAACCGCCGUAGUUGAGUUCACGAACGGCGA